rnacentral:rRNA from 1 species
CUUCAUGAAGCUGGAAUUGCUAGUAAUGGCAGGUCAGCAUACUGCCGUGAAUACUUCCCGGGCCUUGUACACACCGCCCGUCACACCAUGAGAGUUGGAAAUACCCGAAGCCUGUGAGCUAACAGUAAUGAGGCAGCAGUCGAAGGUAGAGCCAAUGAUUGGGGUGAAGUCGUAACAAGGUACC